rnacentral:rRNA from 1 species
CCUACGGGUGACAGCAGUAGGGAAUAUUGCUCAAUGGGGGAAACCCUGAAGCAGCAACGCCGCGUGGAGGAUGAAGGUUUUCGGAUUGUAAACUCCUUUUGUUAGAGAAGAUAAUGACGGUAUCUAACGAAUAACCACCGGCUAACUCCGUGCCAGCAGCCGCGGUAAUACGGAGGGUGCAAGCGUUACUCGGAAUCACUGGGCGUAAAGGGCGCGUAGGCGGGAUAGCAAGUCAGAUGUGAAAUCCUAUGGCUUAACCAUAGAACUGCAUUUGAAACUGUUAGUCUAGAGUAUGGGAGAGGUAGGUGGAAUGCUUGGUGUAGGGGUAAAAUCCGUAGAGAUCAAGAGGAAUACUCAUUGCGAAGGCGACCUGCUAGAACAUAACUGACGCUGAUGCGCGAAAGCGUGGGGAGCAAACAGGAUUAGAUACCCCAGUAGUC